GUGACAGUGGCAGGACUGUGAUUCACUGAUCCCCUCUGCCACACAGACACACCGCCAUCCUACCAGAUGCCACCAAAAACUCAGCAGUAAUAACAACAAAGCAACCUACACUCCAGGUUCAGAGGUCAAAGCAGCCUAACGGGAGCCCAUGGUACCUGACUGGGAGAGAUGCUGAGCAACUGUUCUCUUCAUCUCUGAGUUAGUGUCCCUCUCUCAGGACAGCAGCAGCAGCAGUUUCUCCAUCACUGAUUGGCCCCUCUGCCUCUCCUUAUGUGACUGAAAUGUUUGAUGGUAGUCCAAUAGAU
rnacentral:lncRNA from 1 species